AGUGAACGCUGGCGGUAGGCCUAACACAUGCAAGUCGAACGGCAGCACAGUAAGAGCUUGCUCUUACGGGUGGCGAGUGGCGGACGGGUGAGGAAUACAUCGGAAUCUACUUUUUCGUGGGGGAUAACGUAGGGAAACUUACGCUAAUACCGCAUACGACCUACGGGUGAAAGCAGGGGAUCUUCGGACCUUGCGCGAUUGAAUGAGCCGAUGUCGGAUUAGCUAGUUGGCGGGGUAAAGGCCCACCAAGGCGACGAUCCGUAGCUGGUCUGAGAGGAUGAUCAGCGACACUGGAACUGAGACACGGUCCAGACUCCGACGGGAGGCAGCAGUGGGGAAUAUUGGACAAUGGGCGCAAGCCUGAUCCAGCCAUACCGCGUGGGUGAAGAAGGCCUUCGGGUUGUAAAGCCCUUUUGUUGGGAAAGAAAAGCAGCAGGUUAAUACCCCGCUGUUCUGACGGUACCCAAAGAAUAAGCACCGGCUAACUUCGUG
rnacentral:rRNA from 1 species